rnacentral:rRNA from 1 species
CGGCAGCAGCCCAAAUUUGAAAUCUGGCUCCCUCGGGGUCCGAGUUGUAAUUUGGAGAGGAUGCCUCGGCGUGGCCGCCAGUCGAAGUCCCUUGGAACGGGGCGUCACAGAGGGUGAGAAUCCCGUCCGUGGCCGGCGGCCCUCGCCGUGCGAGGCUCCCUCGAC